CAGGGAAUCAACCAACAUAGCUGUUUUAUAAUGGAAAAGUUCUACAUUCACGUGUGUGCAUUUAUUGCCAUCUGUAAAGUACUAGAGGAGAAGGACAUGUGUGGUGCAUCUGAGACCAGCGGAGCAGAGAUGAACUGCAUUAUGGCUGACGGGGGUGAGACUGACCACUGAGAAAAGCGUGCGGACAAAGUCAUGCAAGGCAUGGGAGCACUUCACUCAACAUUCAUCCAACAAGUUGGUUGUCUGCAAAAUCUGUAACGCAGCGCUGGCGUGGCACGGAAGCACAACCGUGAUGAACGAGCACAUGAGAAGGAAACAUGUUGGCGUCACAGAGGAAGGAAUAGCCCCUAAGAGGCAGCGCUCCACGACUGGAUUUGUGCAUGUAAAUCCUCAAUGUACACCAGCACAAGCUUCUGUUCUCACAGAUUCUGUAUUAGAAAUGUUAGUCACUGACAUGCGACCACUGUCCAUGGUCGUGGUCGAAGACAAAGGAUUCCACAGCAUGGUCAGUGCACUAAAUACUUCAGACAAGCUUCCAUCAAGAACCCAUUUCACCACACUAAUGGAGAGGAAGUACAAGGAGACCUUUCAGCAUGUGACGGAUACCAUUCACCAUGAGAGCAGAAUAGAGAUGACUGCAGACAUAUGGACCAGCGUAGCAACUGAGGCUUACCUUGUUUUACAUGCCACCACAUAGGGGAUGAUUGUAUAACUAUCUUUAUCAUCUGAUACUUCCAAAGUGUCUGGAGCACUUAGAGAAACGUCCCCAGAGUCAGAAGUGUCAAGUCCAUCUUUGGACCAUGAUGGAGUACCUGCAAACUCUG